rnacentral:rRNA from 1 species
UACGGAGGGUGCAAGCGUUAUCCGGAUUCACUGGGUUUAAAGGGUGCGUAGGUGGGCAGGUAAGUCAGUGGUGAAAUCUCCGGGCUUAACCCGGAAACUGCCAUUGAUACUAUCUGUCUCGAAUACCGUGGAGGUGAGCGGAAUAUGUCAUGUAGCGGUGAAAUGCUUAGAUAUGACAUAGAACACCAAUUGCGAAGGCAGCUCACUACACGAAUAUUGACACUGAGGCACGAAAGCGUGGGGAUCAAACAGG